rnacentral:rRNA from 1 species
AUUGAACGCUGGCGGCAGGCCUAACACAUGCAAGUCGAGCGGAUGAAGGGAGCUUGCUCUCUGAUUUAGCGGCGGACGGGUGAGUAAUGCCUAGGAAUCUGCCUGGUAGUGGGGGAUAACGUUCCGAAAGGAACGCUAAUACCGCAUACGUCCUACGGGAGAAAGCAGGGGACCUUCGGGCCUUGCGCUAUCAGAUGAGCCUAGGUCGGAUUAGCUAGUUGGUGAGGUAAUGGCUCACCAAGGCGACGAUCCGUAACUGGUCUGAGAGGAUGAUCAGUCACACUGGAACUGGGACACGGUCCAGACUCCUACGGGAGGCAGCAGUGGGGAAUAUUGGACAAUGGGCGAAAGCCUGAUCCAGCCAUGCCGCGUGUGUGAAGAAGGUCUUCGGAUUGUAAAGCACUUUAAGUUGGGAGGAAGGGUUGUAGAUUAAUACUCUGCAAUUUUGACGUUACCAACAGAAUAAGCACCGGCUAACUUCGUGCCAGCAGCAGCCGCGGUAA